UAGCUCAGUUGGUAGAGCGCGUCAUUCGUAAUGAUGAGGUCGUAGGUUCGAUUCC
rnacentral:tRNA from 1 species